rnacentral:rRNA from 1 species
CAAGUCGAACGGGAUCCAUGAUGUAGCAAUACAUCGGAAGAUCUAGUGGCGAACGGGUGAGGAUCACGUGAGAAACCUGCCCCAGACUCUGGGAUAACAAUUGGAAACGAUUGCUAAUACCGGAUGACGUCGGAGAACCGCAUGGUUCACUGACGAAAGAUAUUUCGGUUUGGGAGGGUCUCGCGGCCUAUCAGCCUGUUGGUGGGGUAAUGGCCUACCAAGGCAACGACGGGUAGCUGGUCUGAGAGGAUGAUCAGCCACACUGGGACUGAGACACGGCCCAGACUCCUACGGGAGGCAGCAGUGGGGAAUCUUGCGCAAUGGGCGAAAGCCUGACGCAGCAACGCCGCGUGCGGGAUGAAGGCCUUCGGGCUGUAAACCGCUUUCAGCAGGAACGAAAAUGACGGUACCUGCAGAAGAAGGAGCGGCCAACUACGUGCCAGCAGCCGCGGUGACACGUAGGCUCCAAGCGUUGUCCGGAUUUAUUGGGCGUAAAGAGCUCGUAGGCGGUUUAGUAAGUCGGGUGUGAAAACUCUGGGCUUAACCCGGAGACGCCAUCCGAUACUGCUAUGACUUGAGUUCAGGAGGGGAGCGGGGAAUUCCUAGUGUAGCGGUGAAAUGCGCAGAUAUUAGGAGGAACACCGGUGGCGAAGGCGCCGCUCUGGACUGAAACUGACGCUGAGGAGCGAAAGCAUGGGUAGCAAACAGGAUUAGAUACCCUGGUAGUCCAUGCCGUAAACGGUGGGCACUAGGUGUGGGUUCCAACUAACGGGAUCCGCGCCGUCGCUAACGCAUUAAGUGCCCCGCCUGGGGAGUACGGUCGCAAGACUAAAACUCAAAGGAAUUGACGG